rnacentral:rRNA from 1 species
GACGAACGCUGGCGGCGUGCUUAAUACAUGCAAGUCGAACGGAAAGGCCCUGCUUUUGCGGGGUGCUCGAGUGGCGCACAGGUGUGUAACACGUGUGUAUCCUGCCCUUGAAUUUGGGAUAACUUCAGGAAACUGGGGCUAAUACAGGAUAGGAGCUCCUGCUGCAUGGUGGGGGUUGGAGAGAUUCGGCGGUUGGGGAUGGACUCGCGGCUUAUCAGCUUGUUGGUGGGGUAGUGACUUACCAAGGGUUUGACGGGUAGCCGGCCUGAGAGGGGGGCCGGCGACCUGGGUACUGAGAGACGGCCCAGUCUCCUACGGGCGGCAGUGGGGGGGAAUAUGACAGAAUGGGCGGAAGCGUGAGGCAGCAAUGCUGCGUGCGGAAUGACGGGCUACGGGGGGUAAACAGCUUUGGCAUGUGAUGUAGCGUGAUUGACGGUAAUGGGUAAAGAAGCAACGGCUAACUACGUG